UACGAGGGGUGCUAGCGUUAUUCGGAAUCAUUAGGGCGUAAAGGGUGCGUAGACGGUUUAUUAAGUCAACUGUUAAAUUCUUCGGCCUAACUGAAGGUCAGCGGUAGAAACUGGUAGACUUGAGAUUGGAAGAGAGAAGUGGAAUUCUCGGAGUAGCGGUAAAAUGCGUAGAUCUCGAGAGGAACACCGAUGGCGAAGGCAGCUUCUUGGUCCAAAUCUGACGUUGAGGCACGAAAGCGUGGGGAGCAAACAGG
rnacentral:rRNA from 1 species